rnacentral:rRNA from 1 species
UACAGAGGGGGCAAGCGUUAUUCGGAAUUAUUGGGCGUAAAGGGCACGUAGGCGGCCUGGCAAGUGGAAGGUGAAAUCCCUCGGCUUAACCGAGGAACUGCCUCCCAAACUGCUUGGCUUGAGACCAGGAGAGGUGAGUGGAAUUCCCAGUGUAGCGGUGAAAUGCGUAGAUAUUGGGAGGAACACCAGUGGCGAAGGCGGCUCACUGGACUGGUACUGACGCUGAGGCGCGAAAGCGUGGGGAGCAAACGGG